ensembl:lncRNA
GGAUUUUUUUUGUCUGGUGCUGCCACAUGUGCCAGUCAGCAUGAACGCCGGUUUGUUGAACGAACCACAUCGAAUUUCCUAUUUGCUUCAACUGAAGGAGUUUUAUAUACACAUAAGUCAAGGCAGUGAUAAAAAAUUCUAUCCAUAGUGAAUCAGUAUGGAUGAAUUACUUGAAAAGACAUGGGGAGAGAGAGAGGGAGAGAGAGAUCACCUCCAAUGGCUGGGGGACUUCACCUGUAUACCCAGCACUAAUGGUCACAUGAUCGCUCACUCUUACCCAGCAUUGUCAGACCACAAUUUUUAUUCAUCCACUCACACAGCUAUGUCUCUCAUCCUCUUUCUCCUUUUCCUCUCUCUUAGCUUAGCUCUACUAGUGCAGCUUUUCACUCCACCUGAUUCCAUCAAGGACAAAGCACAGUUUCAGAGAUGGUUCCCAUAGAAACAGAGUAUGCCUUGCUAUUUUAGUCAUGUUUUGUACAUUGUAUCUGCCGGAGCAGCCGCACCAAAGACAGGAAGUGACCAACAGCACACAUCAAUAAGAAAGUCUGGAAUCCCUGCAGCAGUUCAGAUGGCCAUCUACUGCUGCCCCGGGGUUAAAGGUGACCAUCAACUCAACAUGCUAAUGGAAAGAAAGUUAAUGAAUCUUUCACCAUGCAUGAAAUGUUUUCCUGAAUUUUUUUAAAGCCAAAUUCAUCUUUUUAUCUUCUUUCCAAAGGGCUAAAAGGCACUUGAAUCUUCAAGAUGAAAAGUUUCAACUCUAUCGGAUAUACCCACGAUAUCAAACGUUGGGGCUGUUUUGGGACUUUUUAAAAAGAAAUGUGUACACAUAGAAAUAUAUUAUACUAUUUUCUACUAUUUUAUUAAAUACUACUUUUGCUAAAAAGUGACAAAUCUCACUGCUUUUGCAGAAUACACAAAGGUUAGUGACACUUCAUUUAACCUAAAUUCUUCACCCUAAUCUUUAAAGAUUUGCUGUUUGCUAGUAAACGAGCUAAUGUUAUGCUAAACGCUAUGUGAAAAUACUAAAAUUAGCCGUGUUUGCUAGUACACGAGCUAAUGUUCCCAAUUUUAUGAUUUUUAUUGGAGUUUGUUUCCAAAUUCAGUUAUUUAUUCUUAAUGAUGUGUUCAUUCUUAGUUCUCUGAUCUCAUGAUCUCUGAGCUCUAAGAAACAAUAGAUGAAAUAGGUGGCACACUGAAUUAGUUCUCUUGCCAAUUGUAUGAUUGUUGUUGAGUUUUUCCAACAGCCAGUUAUUCAUUCUCAAUAAUAAAGGAUUCAGAGGAAAAUUCAGUCUGUUUUCAUUCAUAUCGAUGUAUCUCUGUAAAUUCAGUUCAUUUUGUAGAUUUGAAUUAUGAAUUAACACAAUAUUGCAUGGUAUCGUAAUACUUCAGCUGGCAUAGUAUCGUAAGAUACGUUUGUGGAAUCGUGACAACCUUGAUAUACAUAAACAUACUGCACACAUGCACUCUUUAACUCCCAGGGAGUUACUGUUGCCAAUUCUGACCUUUCACCCCCAGGUGGAAUAAAGCCUGAGCGCAAGGUGCAAUAAAUAUCAACAUACAAACCCAGACAAAAACAUAACCAUUCUCCGAACACUGGCUGGGGAAGCUAAUCCAUCACGAGGCACCCCCCCCCCCCCCCCCCCCCCCCACACACACACACACACAAAAUCAAACACUCGUUCACUCUUCAAGGCAAUUUAGAGUAGCAAAUCCAUGUACCAGCAUGUUUUCUGGAAGAAACCCGAACAGAGAAGAGAAGUAACCCUGAGUUCAGUGCUCAGCUCAUAUUAUCCAGUUCCCCACCGUGCCAUCCUCUUUCAUAUUAUCACAACCUCCAAAGCAUUACAGAAGAUAUUUAUAUUAAUAACUAGAACCAGUUUAUAACAAUAGCACUUUACAUUAGAAAUGGUCUAUAAAGCGCUUUACACUGUUUCUCAAUCACCCAUUCACAUACACACUCACACCAAUGCAAAUGUGACGCAUCACCUGUACCGCUGAUGAACACCUCCGUGUCCAGUAUUUCUGAGGUGCUAAGCUCUGAAGAAUGAAAAGUGAUAGACUGCUAACUUGGUGUUCACUUGGAGUUAGAAUUCUCGAGUAAAGUAGUCCUUUAAUGCUGGCACAAGUGACUUUUAGCCGUAAUGAAUAUUUACAGUACAUGUGUGUUUGUCUGCAUCGUUUUACAAACUCUGAGUCGAGCUCUCACUGCUACUGGUUUCAAUUUCACCACUUGCAUUUCCAAUGCCAAGAGAGACCGUGAGAAGGAUUGUAAAGAACGUAACAAUGACCAACAACUCGUUCAAUCAUGCGUACACACUUUAAAUGUUUCUCCUGCGCAUUUCUCCAUCUUCAAUCGGCUCUGCUCGGCCUGUAAUUAGCCGCUUAAAAAAACAUUUUAAUGCUGAUAUUCAUCAUCUGUGUACAAACUGAGAAACAAUUAAAACACUGUACGAAGGCUUACACGGGUUACUUGAGUCAGAGUUUGUCAAUAAUCUCACAGUCUGUUAGAAAGCUAACGAUGUGCCGCUUAGCUGUUAGCUGACAGUUAGAUUGCUAACAUCUGUGCUAAUGACUUAGGUGUGGUUCAAACCAACGUCAUGGAAUUGGCAAUAUGGAUCUGCCCUUGACCUUGGAGAUUAAUUUUCAAAUAAAAAUAACCUCAAAGUACGCAUUCUGACAUGGAAUCAUAUUUUCAGAACAAACACCGGCAUUAAUUAAUUUUAUCACAGGCUUUUUCUUAAAUAUACAUUUUUUCAUUUGAAUGCCCAAUUCCUGCAUAUCAUAAGUGUCACACAUUUUAUGUAUGGCAUGCAACAUAAAUCUGUCUGCAUCAACCGGUCACUGAACUAUAAGCACAGAAGUGAUUUUCCAUAGGUAUUAGCGGGCACACAUACACACACACACACACACACACACACACACACACACACACACACACACACACAGAGAAGCACAAGGGAGGCCACGGGUAGCCUCGACUGCCUUUUAUGAAAACAGCAGGGCCGGUGUGCAUCGCAAACCAAUCAGCAGAAAGCAGCACCAUGUCCAGAAGAAAGAAAGGGAUGGACAGAUCACUAGCCUGGCAGCCCAGGACAAGCAUACUUCAUGUUCAGGCAAUUAGUAUUUCCCGUUUUUUUUUUUUAAGUGACUUUAAGAAGAAAAGUACACUUAUACUUAUUGACCUUCCCAAUACAAAAGUUUUCAUUUAAUUUGCAUGUAUAUUUAAACGUUACGUACUUCAUGGCGGUGUGGCGCUCCUCAAUGAUGUAACUAUCCGAACUUUCGAAUCCUGACACCUGCUGCACUACACACACAUCAGCUGAGACACGAUCAUGAAAAAAUGAGCAAAAUAAAGACUGCUCAUUACCUUUAAACCGUAUUAAUCCACUAAAUUAACUAACUUCCUUGUCAAACAUUAUGAUGUUACAUUAACUACCAAUUUUUCUCAAACCAAAACACAGGACUGGGCAACACAGCAAAGUUUUUACUUGCCCAGGGGGCCUGCUAAUAAAUGUAAUAGAUUUGUCCACUUGUGAAGAAAUACAAAAAUGUAAGCUUCCAUAUUUAUUUUGUUGAGCAAUGCUAAGAUUCAGUGAGAUAUGCUUGCUUGUGCUUUAGUGAAUAAAUGCGAAAGCAAAUUGGAAAAAGCUCAGUGGUUUGUUACUACACCUUUAUGCAUUUGGUGUAAUUGUCAGCAUUUCUUGUGGCCGGGACCAACGCUAGUCACGCAUGCACCUCUGCUACUGUCACAUGCAUGUAAUUUGUUUAGCUCACACGAUCAGACACGCUACCAUAUAUAUAUAUAUAUAUAUAUAUAUAUAUA